GAUGAACGCUGGCGGCGUGCCUAAUACAUGCAAGUCGAGCGAACAGAUGAGGAGCUUGCUCCUCUGACGUUAGCGGCGGACGGGUGAGUAACACGUGGAUAACCUACCUAUAAGACUAGGAUAACUUCGGGAAACCGGAGCUAAUACCGGAUAAUAUAUUGAACCGCAUGGCUCAAUAGUGAAAGACGGUUUUGCUGUCACUUAUAGAUGGAUCCGCGCCGCAUUAGCUAGUUGGUAAGGUAACGGCUUACCAAGGCAACGAUGCGUAGCCGACCUGAGAGGGUGAUCGGCCACACUGGAACUGAGACACGGUCCAGACUCCUACGGGAGGCAGCAGUAGGGAAUCUUCCGCAAUGGGCGAAAGCCUGACGGAGCAACGCCGCGUGAGUGAUGAAGGUCUUCGGAUCGUAAAACUCUGUUAUUAGGGAAGAACAAAUGUGUAAGUAACUAUGCACGUCUUGACGGUACCUAAUCAGAAAGCCACGGCUAACUACGUG
rnacentral:rRNA from 1 species